rnacentral:misc_RNA from 1 species
CGCACCUUGCGCUCCCUGGUAUUCCGGGGAGCAUGCCUGUUUGAGUGUCAUGAAAACCCUCAACCUUAGAUUGGUUAACACCUUUCUUUGGCUUGGAUUUGGACGUUUGCCGAUGAUAAGUCGGCUCGUCUUAAAAGUAAUAGCUGGAUCUGUCUCGCGACAUGGUUUGACUUGGCGUAAUAAGUAUUUCGCUAAGGACAUCUUCGGAUGGCCGCGUUGCAAGACUAAAGACCGCUUUCUAAUCCAUUGAUCUUCGGAUUAAUAUUCUUGACAUCUGGCCUCAAAUCAGGUAGGACUACCCGCUGAACUUAA